GACGAACGCUGGCGGCGUGCUUAACACAUGCAAGUCUAGGGGAAAGUUCUCUUCGGAGGAUGAGUAUACUGGCGCACGGGUGAGUAAUAUAUAAGUAAUCUACCUAUGGGAUUGGAAUAACUCCGAGAAAUCGGGGCUAAUACCAAAUAACGCAGCGGCACCGCAUGGUGAUGUUGUUAAAGUGAUUUAUCACGCCUAUAGAUGAGCUUGUCUCCGAUUAGUUUGUUGGUAAGGUAAUGGCUUACCAAGACUACGAUCGGUAGCUGGUCUGAGAGGAUGAUCAGCCACACUGGAACUGAGACACGGUCCAGACUCCUAUGGGAGGCAGCAGUGAGGAAUAUUGGGCAAUGGACGAAAGUC
rnacentral:rRNA from 1 species